AGAAAGGGAAAACCUAAUCAUUGUGUCUAAAUGUGGUAAUGCUGAAGCACCUAAAUGUGAUAAACUUGAAAAAUCAACAGAUUAAACCUAGUAAUUAUCAGAACUUGUGUCUUUUUGAAAGUGAAAUCCUAAAGCUUAAGUAGGAAUCAGAUCUCAAAACACAGAUCAUAUUUCACACUGUUUCAUUAUCAUGUGACAGAAGCAUAUCAUGAUCAAAAUCAAACAUCAAAUUAACUACAUGAACAAAUAAAGAGUCAAUCAACGCUGAAUUUAAUCUCCAUGAACUAUCAUCGAACACCAUGGGACCUUUAAGGAGACAACUGUUGGAUGAAAAUCUUUGCUUAAGUUCUUUCUUGAAGGCUUUCAUCAAAUGCUUGAUAUCCAACCUCUUUGAGGAAAGUUUCAUUAUUGUCAAACUCGCUUCUAUCCAUAGUCAUCAUUAGAAUAGACAUAAAAAUUUAGUUCAUAAUUAAUCUUGUAUUACUUCCCUAAAAUUGUUCAUCUUCGAGAUCACCAGAAGUGUAAAGAUUUUUUGAAAUCUUCUGCUUCUACGACAUUGAUUCAUUGUGAUAACGAUGAAAAAUUGUUCACAAUAAUCUCUUUCAACUUUUGCAAUGCAAGUCGAAAAUUCAUAGACGCUCUUCAGUACUUACACAAUAAGACAUAGACAGGAAAG
rnacentral:misc_RNA from 1 species